rnacentral:rRNA from 1 species
UACGAAGGGGGCUAGCGUUGCUCGGAAUCACUGGGCGUAAAGGGCGCGUAGGCGGCCAUUCAAGUCGGAGGUGAAAGCCCAGGGCUCAACCCUGGAAUUGCCUUCGAUACUGUUUGGCUAGAGACCGGAAGAGGUAAGUGGAACUGCGAGUGUAGAGGUGAAACUCGUAGAUAUUCGCAAGAACACCAGUGGCGAAGGCGGCUUACUGGUCCGGUUCUGACGCUGAGGCGCGAAAGCGUGGGGAGCAAACAGG